rnacentral:piRNA from 1 species
AGGCAGCCAGUGCAAGGAGCUCUG